rnacentral:rRNA from 1 species
GGAGUUUGGGCCGUGUCUCAGUCCCAAUGUGGCCGUCCGACCUCUCAGUCCGGCUACAGAUCGUCGCCUUGGUAAGCCGUUACCUUACCAACUAGCUAAUCUGACGCGGGCCCAUCUCGUACCACCGGAGUUUUUCACACUGUAUCAUGCGAUACUGUGCGCUUAUGCGGUAUUAUCAGUCGUUUCCAACUGCUAUCCCCCAGUACGAGGCAGGUUGCCCACGCGUUACUCACCCGUCCGCCACUAAGAUUAAACAAGAAUCCGCCGAAGCCUCAUCAGCGUCUAAUCUCCGUUCGACUUGCAUGUGUUAGGCACGCCGCCAGCGUUCAUC